rnacentral:rRNA from 1 species
CGAACGAGACUCAAACUUUUUUAAAUAGAUGCUUGCAGGAUUAUGACGCUGAAACCAUUGUGUGGGUGCUUUGGUUGUGCAAACAAUCUUGGUGCUUGCGCAUGGUGGAGUUGUACCUGUUUGGUUUGUCUUAAGAGGACACUUUUGCUUCUUAAAGGGACAAAAUGCGUCUAGCAUUAUGAGAUUGAGCAAUAACAGGUCUGUGAUGCCCUUAGAUGUCCUGGGCUGCACGCGCGCUACAAUGAAGGUAUCAAUGUGUUUUAUCCUUGACCGAGAGGUAUGGGUAAACAUUGAACCACCUUCUUGGUUGGGAUUGUGGACUGUAACUGUUCACAUGAACCCGGAAUUCCCAGUAAGUGUGAGUCAUAAGCUUGCAUUGAUUACGUCCCUGCCCUUUGUACACACCGCCCGUCGCUACUACUGAUGAAUUGUUUAGUGAGGUCUCUGGACGUGUGCGCCGAAAUACUCUUGUAGUAAUUUGGUAUGUUACACAGAAGUUGACCGAACUUGAUUAUU